UCAAGCUACUAAGGGCACAUCGAGGAUGACUUGGCGCCAAGAAGCGAUGAAGGACGCGUAAAGCUGCGAUAAGCCCCGGGGAGCCGCCAAAAGGCCUUGAUCCGGGGAUCUCCGAAUGGGGAAACCCUCCCGGCGAUGAGCCGGGAAUCUCACGCUGAAUUCAUAGGCGUGUUGAAGCGAACGCGGUGAAUUGAAACAUCUUAGUAACCGCAGGAACAGAAAAAGAAAUUGACUUCCUGAGUAGCGGCGAGCGAAAGGGAACCAGCCUAAACCCUAUCCGUGCAAGCCUGCAGGCGUUGCGGAUGGGGGGUCGCGGGAGUCACCGGCCCCUGUUGCAGAGGGGGCGUGGAGUUACAAAGGAGCUGACGAGCAGAACGGGCCUGGAACGCCCGGCCAUAGAAGGUGAAAGCCCUGUAGGCAAAGUCUGCUCUCUCCAUGGGUGACCACCCAAGUAAGGCCAGUCACGUGGAACCUGGUCUGAAUCCGUCCGGCCCACCGGACAAGGCUAAGUAUUCCUUGGCGACCGAUAGUGAACAAGUACCGUGAGGGAAAGUUGAAAACUACCCCGGAAGGGGGGUUAAAAGCGCUGAAACGAUGUGCCUACGAGCAGUCGGAGGGCUAUGGCGGCGCAAGCCGCAAUGCCUGACGGCGUGCCUUUUGCAUAAUGAUCCGGCGACUUACGAUGCGUGGCAAGGUUAAGCCCUUAAGGGGCGGAGCCGUAGCGAAAGCGAGUGCUAAUUGCGCGAAUCAGUCACGUGUUGUAGACCCGAAUGUAGGUGAUCUAUCCUUGGACAGGUUGAAGUCCGGGUACAACCGGAUGGAGGACCGAACUCAUUAGAGAUGAAAAUCUAUGGGAUGAUCUGAGGAUCGGAGCGAAAGACUAAUCAAACUUACCAAUUGCUGGUUCUCCCCGAAAUAGUUUGAGGGCUAGCCUCGCGUAAUUCCUGGAUGGGGGUAGAGACACUGAAUGGGAAAGGGGGUCCACCAGACUGCCCUGCCCAAUCAAACUCCGAAUACCAUCCGUGGCUACCGCGGGAGUGAGACAGUGGGGGAUAAGCUUCAUUGUCGAGAGGGAAACAACCCUGACCAUCGACAAAGGCCCCGAAACGCGUGCUAAGUGCGAAAGGAUGUGAGGACGCAUCGACAACCAGGAUGUUGGCUUAGAGGCAGCCAUCAUUUAAAAAGUGCGUAACAGCUUACUGGUCUAGCGUUCUCGCGCCGACAACAUACGGGACUCAAGCACGCUGCCGACGUCAUGGAUGUGUUUGCUGCGCUGCAGCGGAUACGUGGUAGGGGAGCGUUCCAUACCGGGUUGAAGGGCGACGGUGACGACGCCUGGACUGUAUGGAAGUGAUACUGCCGGAACGAGUAGCGGUAAAACGAGUUGGAAUCUCGUUCGUCGAAAGCCUAAGGUUUCCUGGGGCAGGUAAAUCCGCCCAGGGUAAGUCGGACCCUAAGCCGAGGCCGAAAGGCGUAGGUGAUGGAUGGCAGGUUAAUAUUCCUGCACCGAUUUUGGAAGGUUCGAAGCACAGGAGGGACGGAGCGUGGACAGCAAACGGGAACUUGUUCCCUGUCCUGCCGACGGCCUGCCGGGGAUAAAAGACCGGCACAAGGGUUGAAAGCGGGAGGAGUCCUCUUUUGGACGAAGAGUUCGAAGCGCUCACAAGAAAAUCUUCGGUGCUACAACCAAAGUCGUCCGUACCGGAAACCAACACUGGUAGGCGGGGUGAAUAUCCUAAGACGCUCGGGAGAACCUCCGUUAAGGAACUAGGCAAAAUAGCCCCGUAACUUCGGGAGAAGGGGUGCCCUCAUAGGUGUUAAAGCCUGCGAGGGUCGCAGUGAAAUGGGUCUGCCGACUGUUUACUAAAAACACAGGUCUGUGCUAAGUCGUAAGACGACGUAUACAGACCGACGCUUGCCCACUGCCGGAAGGUCAAAGUAAGGGGUUAGCCGCAAGGCGAAGCUCUGAACCCAAGCCCCGGUGAAGGGCGGCCGUAACUAUAACGGUCCUAAGGUAGCGAAGUUCCUUGUCGGGUAAGUUCCGACCUGCAUGAAUAGCGUAACGAGUGGACCGCUGUCUCAACGGAGGGCUCGGCGAAACUGUAGUUGUGGUGAGGAUGCCACUUGCCCGCGGCUAGACGGAAAGACCCUGUGAACCUUCACUGUAGCCUCAUAUUGGGUUCUUGUGCUACAUGCGUAGGAUAGGUGGGAGGCUUUGAUGUCCCGGUUUCGGCCGGGGCGGAGCCAACGGUGAAAUACCACCCUUGCGGCAUCGGCAUUCUAACUGAGUCCCGUGAAACCGGGCUCAGGACAUUGUGAGGUGGGCAGUUUGACUGGGGCGGUUCCCUCCUAAAGAGUAACGGAGGGGUCCAAAGGUACUCUCAGCACGGUCGGCAAUCGUGCGCAGAGCGUAAGGGUAUAAGAGUGCUUGACUGGAAGACCUACAAGUCGACCAGAUACGAAAGUAGGGCCUAGUGAUCCGGCGGUUGUGUGUGGAAACGCCGUCGCUCAUCGGAUAAAAGGUACUCCGGGGAUAACAGGCUGAUCUCACCCAAGCGUCCAUAGCGACGGUGAGGUUUGGCACCUCGAUGUCGGCUCAUCGCAUCCUGGGGCUGGAAAAGGUCCCAAGGGUUUGGCUGUUCGCCAAUUAAUAGCGGUACGUGAGCUGGGUUUAGACCGGCGUGAGCCAGGUCGGUCCCUAUCUGUCGUGGGCGCAGGAGACUUGCGGAGUUUUACCCCUAGUACGAGAGGAUUGGGGUGGACGAACCUCUGGUGUGCGGGUUGUCCCGUCAGGGGCAGUGCCCGGUAGCUAUGUUCGGAACGGAUAACCGCUGAAAGCAUCUAAGCGGGAAGCCCUCUCCAAGAUCAGAUCUCCCCAUCAGGCUCCUGGAAGACUACCAGGUCGAUAGGCCGGGUGUGCAAGCCCCGUAAGGGGUGCAGCUAACCGGUACUAAUCAGCCGACUGGCUUGACCAC
rnacentral:rRNA from 1 species